GAGCGCGGAGGAGGCGGCCCACCCUUCUCCCCCCGACGACGGCGACUUCCUGCGCACGCCGCGCCGCUGGCGCCAGCACUGGGAGGAGGCGGUGCGGCGAAGCGCUCAGGAGCGCGUGCGGCGGCCGGGCGCCGGGUGGGCCUUCGGGGAGGCGGAGGGCGCGUCGGGUUUGGCCCAGCUUCUGGCCGAGCUGGGCGGCUUGGUUCGCCGCGACCUGCAGAAGGUGCGGCAGGAGGUGCAGCCCGCGUAUGCGGCGGCCGGCUUCCCAGCGUGGGAGGUCUAUCUGCGUGCCUUCCACAGCGCCGUGGCCCAGCGCCUCCAGGAGCUCGCGCGCGACGCCCGCGGCUGCGAGCAGCUCUAUAUCCUGCUGGACUGGGCCGCCAACGUCUACGGCAGUCCUGAUUUCCUGGGCGCCCCGGGGCUGGCGCUGCCCGCCGAGCCGCUGCCUCCGCUCCUGGCGCCGGACGUGUGGGCCCGACUGGAGAGCGACUACACCAGCUUCCUGGAGGCCAAGAUCGCAAGCUGCUUCGACAGCAUCUUGCAGCUGGAGCAGAGUCACUGGGCGGCCGCCGAGGUCCCCGAGGUGCUGCAGGGCCUCUACCAGGCGCCGCUGUCCAUGGACGUCCAUAUGGUGCGGCCCAGGAGCAGGGGCUGAGAAGGGGCGUCUGUUCAAGCCUCACGCACACGGUGGCGAUAUCCAGAACGAAUUCCUAUCCUGUCCCAACCAACCCUUCCGUUAGAUGGGAGCCUGAGGCCCCACGUGGGGGGAAAUCGGGGACCCCCGGCGCGCCGACAGGCAGGGAGGCUGCUGGAUGGGAGUUUGCGGGAGUUGACUCUCCGGUUGGGCGGCUGAAAGCUGGAGGGGCCAAGACUGACAGGCACAGCGGGGCGAGCUGGAGGCGCAGCGGGGGCUACCAGGGGACCCGCGGCCUCAGGUCGGGGGCUGGGAGGCACGCUCAGUGCGGGGCUUCGCUCGCAGCUCGUGGCCGAGCACGUGAAGGCGGCCGGCGCCAUCUCCGCGGAGCUGGAGGCCACCACCCUGCGAAUCUGCACGCGGGCGCUCGGCCUCUUCGUGCCCAGGUGCGGACGCAUCCUCAGUAGGGGAGCGACCUGGCCGGGUGUGCUCUGCAGGUGGGAGGGAGGAGUCUGCGUAGGGACCUGAUUGGGAGGGUGGACCCAGGGUCAUCGCGCAGCUAGGGAGGGUCCCCAAAGGCUCUGUGUAUCCCGCCCCAGGUUUGAAAAGGCUUUUCUGGCAUCGGAGGCGGUGAGCGAGCCGCACCUGGGCGCCUACAUCAACGCCUGCGAGGAGCUCAGGACCAGUCUUCUCUCCAGGUUCCCAGGAACCCAAGAGGAGCUGGAGAAGCCCCUGGUGACGGCCACCUGCAGCUUCCAGAAGCACCUGCUUCAGGGCUUGCAGCGUGAGUUGCAGCCGCUCUUCAGGGUUGUGUGCACCAGGGACUGGCUGACGCAGGACUGGCUGCAUCCCCUCAUGGACAAGGUGGUGACCUUCGCCGGUCAUCUCCAGCGUGUGGCCCGGCCGCGGGCACAGGAGACUCUGCAGGAGGUGCACCGGUUCGUGGUCCGCGAGUACCUGGCGCGGGCGCUGAGGCCACGGGAGCGGUUCCGGGGCAUGGAGCGCAUGCAUGGCUCCCAGAAGAUGAGCCUGGAUGCCCAGGCCAUCAGCGACACCUUCCAGGGCCUGGGUUCCGAGGCCACAUGGUUGGACCAAGCCAUCCAGUGCGUGGCUGAGAUCCUGGGCGAGACCUACAAAGACGACAUCCAGCGGCACCUGGAGACUCUCAUCCGGAGCUACCCCGACAUCAGGCGGGACCACAUACUGGCCAUUCUGGCACUGCGCCGACUGGGCCGCCGGCGGAACCAGCAUCUCUUGCAGCACACCCAAGACCUGCUGAGAGCUGCGGCUGGGGUGGCGGGUGCGGAGGCCCCUCGGGGCCGCGUGCUCUUCGAGGAGAUCAAGGUGCCCAGUGCCAUGGCUGUGCUGAUCACCUGCGUCUAGUUCUCUCUGGCUCGAGGGGGGGCCGGCCGCUGGCAGGGAGCUGUGGUCAGUGGGGGUCAGCCAGGAGCCCAGGGAGUCACUCUGGGCCCUGCCCCCAACUCUGACACUGCAGUUAGGGAAUUUUUGUCGUCAGCAGCCAAGCGCAGCUGUCAGGCCAGAAGGAGCAGCCGUGCAGGAGGCAUUUCAGGCAUCGUCGAGGGGAGUGUUUUGGGGCCGCAGAGCUCUCAAUGCUGCCUGUCAGGGGGGGCCUCCCGCCCGACUGUCCAGCUUCACCCUCCAGUCUGAAAGUGAAGAGCAGAGUAUUUAUUUAAAAAAUAAA
rnacentral:sRNA from 1 species